CAGGUUGUACCUCUGCUUGGCCUGGGCCCUUGCUGCCUGGAACAUAGAAAGAACACGUUGGACCUGCACGGUUGUGAGUAAGCAGAAAAAGAAGAAAACUCCCCUCAUGCUUUUAAGUCAUAUUGGAUCAAAGUAGUGGCGAAUCUUCUGCUGGAAGAGUAAGAGGCCGAGAGAGAGAGAACUUUCAAAUUUGAACAGUUUCUUAUGAAGGCUUAGCUGCUUCUUGGAAGCGAAGGUGAAAUUCUCCAGGAAGUCUCAACAGAUGCUGGGAUAUAUAGGCAAUCAGCCCCUUUGCUUCCUGGGAUAUAUAAUUUUCUCCUUUCCUUCCCUGCAAUUCCCUUGCCAGAUUUUUACCCAGACGGUUUGAUUAGAGGGUUUAACAUCACACUGUUCUUACACAAAUUCUGGCUGUGAUAGAGCUGGCUAGCAGAACAUCUGAUGUGUUUUUCAACUGUUUC